rnacentral:rRNA from 1 species
CCUACGGGGGGCUGCAGUCGAGAAUCAUUCACAAUGGGGGAAACCCUGAUGGUGCGACGCCGCGUGGGGGAAUGAAGGUCUUCGGAUUGUAAACCCCUGUCAUGUGGGAGCAAAUUAAGAAGAUAGUACCACAAGAGGAAGAGACGGCUAACUCUGUGCCAGCAGCUGCGGUAAUACAGCGGUCUCAAGCGUUGUUCGGAAUCACUGGGCGUAAAGCGUGCGUAGGCUGUUUCGUAAGUCGUGUGUGAAAGGCGCGGGCUCAACCCGCGGACGGCACAUGAUACUGCGAGACUAGAGUAAGGGAGGGGGAACCGGAAUUCUCGGUGUAGCAGUGAAAUGCGUAGAUAUCGAGAGGAACACUCGUGGCGAAGGCGGGUUCCUGGACAUUAACUGACGCUGAGGCACGAAGGCCAGGGGAGCGAAAGGGAUUAGAUACCCGAGUAGUC